rnacentral:rRNA from 1 species
AUACGUAGGGGGCGAGCGUUGUCCGGAAUGACUGGGCGUAAAGGGCGUGUAGGCGGUUGUCUAAGUCUGGAGUGAAAGUCCUGCUUUCAAGGUGGGAAUAGCUUUGGAUACUGGAUGACUUGAGUGCGGAAGAGGUAAGUGGAAUUCCCAGUGUAGCGGUGAAAUGGGUAGAGAUUGGGAGGAACACCAGUGGCGAAGGCGACUUACUGGACUGUAACUGACGCUGAGGCGCGAAAGUGUGGGGAGCAAACAGGAUUAGAUACCCUGGUAGUCCACACUGUAAACGAUGAAUGCUAGGUGUAGGGGGUAUCGACCCCUUCUGUGCCGCAGUCAACACAAUAAGCAUUCCGCCUGGGGAGUACGGCCGCAAGGUUGAAACUCAAAUGAAUUGACGGGG